rnacentral:rRNA from 2 species
UUCCUACGGGGGGCAGCAGUGGGGAAUAUUGGGCAAUGGGGGAAACCCUGACCCAGCAACGCCGCGUGAGGGAAGAAGGUUUUCGGAUUGUAAACCUCUGUCCUUGGUGACGAAACAAAUGACGGUAGCCAAGGAGGAAGCCCCGGCUAACUACGUGCCAGCAGCCGCGGUAAUACGUAGGGGGCAAGCGUUGUCCGGAAUGACUGGGCGUAAAGGGCGUGUAGGCGGCCGAUUAAGUCUGGAGUGAAAGUCCUGCUUUCAAGGUGGGAAUUGCUUUGGAGACUGGUUGGCUUGAGUGCGGAAGAGGUAAGUGGAAUUCCCAGUGUAGCGGUGAAAUGCGUAGAGAUUGGGAGGAACACCAGUGGCGAAGGCGACUUACUGGGCCGUAACUGACGCUGAGGCGCGAAAGCGUGGGGAGCGAACAGGAUUAGAUACCCCGGUAGUCCC